rnacentral:rRNA from 1 species
GGUGGUCCCACCUGACCCCAUGCCGAACUCAGAAGUGAAACGCCGUAGCGCCGAUGGUAGUGUGGGGUCUCCCCAUGUGAGAGUAGGGCAUUGCCAGGC